rnacentral:rRNA from 1 species
UACGGGGGGGGCAAGCGUUGUUCGGAAUUACUGGGCGUAAAGGGCUCGUAGGCGGCCAACUAAGUCAGACGUGAAAUCCCUCGGCUUAACCGGGGAACUGCGUCUGAUACUGGAUGGCUUGAAUCCGGGAGAGGGAUGCGGAAUUCCAGGUGUAGCGGUGAAAUGCGUAGAUAUCUGGAGGAACACCGGUGGCGAAGGCGGCAUCCUGGACCAAUACUGACGCUCAUGUGCGAAAGCGUGGGGAGCAAACAGG